ACAAAGAUAAAAACGCAACGUGCAUCCGUCAGGAUGUGCCAGAGCCGGAAGGUAGCCCGGCCGUCCUGCAAAAACAGGGUAAGUAACCUGCCCCUCCUGGGUUGUCCGUUCUUUGUCCAUA
rnacentral:ncRNA from 1 species